GUUUGUUGGUUGUAGGUAGACACAAUACCUUUAUUUUAUUUAUUUAUUUUUAUGUGGUGCUGAGGAUCAAACCCAGGGCCUCACACGUGCAAGGCGAGCACUCUGCCACUGAGCCACAACCCUAGCCCCCCUUUAUUAUUACUUUUAUGUGUUGCUGAGUAUUGAACCCAUGCCUCACAUGUGCUAGGCAAGCACUCUACCACUGAGCUACAGCCUGAGCUCCUGAUUAAAUUCUUGUUAAAUAGAAGCUUCAAACAAAGACUCCUGGAGGAUAAUGGGACCCACAGAGAAUGCAGGUUAGACACAAUGAGGACAGAAAAGAAAUGACAGGAUGGGUAGUCGGUUAGAGACUACAUGUUUAAGUUAUUGCCCCCCCCCCAAAGGGUUCAUCAAAUUAAGACUUCUGAGAUCCACUAGCCUAGGAGUUACAGAGAUGGGAUGGCCAGGAGUAAAAUGAUGGCCUUGCCUCUGAUGGCUGGGCAUAGUGGUGCAUGCCUUUAAUUCCAGUGACUGGUGACUGGGGAGGCUGAGGCUGGAGGAUCACAAGUUCAAGGACAGCCUGGGCAGAGUAGUGGGACCCUAACUCAAAAAAGGGCUGUGGAUGUUGCUCAAUGGUACAAUGCUCCUGGGUUCAAUCCUCAGUACCCUGCCUCCCCCAUAUACACACACGAAGAAGACUUUUUAAAAUUAUAUUAUUGUAUUUUAAUACCUUUUUUUAUUUUUAUGUGGUGCUGUGGAUCCAACCCAGUACUCUACCACUGAGGUACAACCACAGCCCCCAAAAGAUUGUUUUUUACCUUGAAGGAUGAGGCAUGGAUCCAGACUUAGUAGGGAAAAGAGUUUCAGGAAAGGACUCAAAGCCUUCUCUGUCCUGUUUGGAAUGUUGCCAUUGUAUUCAGAGGAAACUUAUGUGAAAUCCAUUUUGACCUGUCAAUAAAUACUUUUAAAAGUAUUACUACUGAAUGAUUCAGGGGGGUAUAGUAAAAUAAAGGCUUUCACUUAAUUCAUAGGAGGGUAAAUGAGUAUAUUCUUUUUUUAAGUGAAAUAGAGUAUUCCAGUCACUCUAACUGUAUGCAAAUAAAUAUUUAGUUUAAGCAAUAGUCCCUUGUGAGUCUAAUUAGUAAGCCCAGUUUUAGAGUACACUGACAGAUAAAUGGAGAAGCAGACCUUCUGAGACAGGAACUAUGUAGCCGCAUGGUCCUUUUCUUUCUCUGUUUUGGUUGUAAUUGCAAGUAGUCUCAUCCUUGAUUAUCCAUCUUAUACACAUGCAUUAUUUCACACCAAGGGAGAAUUUCCAGAUAUUUUGGAAACCCCAAAUAUUUUUUUCUUGUUUGUCCUGGUUUUGAUCUAUGCGGAUACUAAUAAAACCCUUAGAACCAUCCACUCUAUUUCAUGCCAAUCUCAUGUAAUCUUUCCACUUUCCUGGGAGUGCCCCAAG
rnacentral:lncRNA from 1 species